rnacentral:lncRNA from 1 species
AUGCAACUGCUUCACCUGCUUUAUUGUGCAGACCUGCGCCUGACUGCCUCUGCAAGUGUCUUCCUCUGCUUGAAUUUCAGUUCUCCCUGCAGAUACAUCAAACUGUGGCCUAAACACCAGGGUCUUUCAUCUUGCAUGACCGGUGGCAGAAACUAAUGGCAGAGGCUGGCCCUCCCCACCACACCUCCAUCAUUCUGCCCCUAGCAGGCUGUCCAGGUUUCCAAACUUGGACACAAAACUGGACAAUCUGACAAAUUUGGACACAAAAAGCGUUGGCAGGAUGCCAAGGUAACUGCAUA